rnacentral:lncRNA from 10 species
AAUUGAUGGACAAAUUAAGCACUCAAAGGCCAUCCAUUUGCCUCCAACCUGGAGCCUCUUAGCCAGGGAUACAGAGAGAAGAAGAGGAGGAGGAGGUGAGUUCCGUCUGUUACCUCUUGAUUUCCCUCUCUGAGAGCCGAGCUUGCUUCAUUUGCUGCCCCGGAAAUUCAGCCGGCCCCUUUUGCUGGAGCAGGCCGUGCACGGUGGGUAAGUGAGCCAUCCGUGUGCACUCUGUGGCUUCCGCAUCUCUGGUGCGGUGCAGGCAUGGCUCUGAGAUAUUCUGAGCACAGGCGUCUGGGUGCCGUUACUCCACAUUCUGGGACACUGGCUAUCGCAUCUUCGGUGUCACUGAAGCUGUAGCGCAUUCUUUUACGCCGGGAAAUCCCAUGUCUGAUGCGACAGUGUUUCUUUAGGACAAACCCUCUCUAGCCUACGGUGGCGUCCUGAGUGUGCGGUGUCCUGGUUUAGGGGUUUAGGAACCUCAAGGACGUGGGAGACAGAAUCUCCAGCGGCUCCCCGGGAAGCCUCGAUCUCUGUGGUCCUCCGUGGUGGGCAUUUGGAGGGAGUGAGCCUUGGUUGUGAAACUGGAACGAGCUUGGGUUUCCAGCUGAUGGGAGCUUUUAUUUCUGAUGUGGUUUACUGCCCAUUGGUUUCUAAAUUACAGCUUUACCGUCACCCUCUGUGUGUUGCAGGUUUGGUUUCCCAGGCAGCAGGCUGAGUCUGCAGGAUGGUUAUUGAAGAACAAUGGAGGCAGAUGCUGGAGCGGCUGCGGGAGAGCCUGGCUUGAGGGCAGCCCUCAGAGCUGUCCUGCCUGGGCUGAGGUGGCCAGCCCUGCUCUCCAGCACAGGCAUUUGGCUGUGGCCCCUCAGGGGAGGGUGUCGCCAUGGGCAGGGCUUUCUGCAGCUGAGGGGUCCUGGAGCGAGCUGCCAGCAGCAGGGAGGGAGGCUUCAACAGCUGCCCAGGAACCACUCGUGUGACUCCAGGCUUCGGCCUUUCAGCAGACUUCGGGACAAACUCUUCUGGGCCAAGAGGAGGCUGCGAUUCUGGAAUGGGGCCUGGAGGGAGGCUGGGGAGCUGCUGUCUUGGGAAAACCAGAGUUUGCUCCAGGCCAGAGCGGACCCUGUGGGGCUGCAGGCAGAAGAGAACAGAAGUUUGUGAACCACUGAGACUUUUAGAAAUUCAUGACUUUUACAUCAUGCCCUGUAAUACAGUCCGAUGUGUCUUAGUAGAACAAUUAUGUUUUAGGUUGUGCAACAAUCAAAUUAUUUAAGUUAACACCAGCCAGGUGCAGUGGCUCAUGUCUAAAAUCCCAGCACUUUGGGAGACCAGGGCAGGAGAAACACUUGAGCCCAGGAGUUGGAGACCAGCCUGGGCAACAUAAGGAGACCCCAUCUCUACAAAACAUUUAAAAGUUAUCUGAGUGUGGUGGUGCCCAAGACUUGGGAGGCUGAGGUGGGAGGAUCGCUUGAGCCCAGGGAUUAGAGGCCGUGGUGCAUCAUUGUACUGCAGCCUGGGGCGACAGAGCAAGACCCUGUCUCAAAACAACGACGACGACCACAACAACAUUUAACCUUCCCAUUCCAAUUUACUUAAGUAAAAU